GGCUGGUUAGCUCAGUUGGUUAGAGCGUGGUGCUAAUGACGCCAUGGUUGCUGGUUCGAUCCCCAUAUGGGCCA